GACGAACGCUGGCGGCGUGCUUAACACAUGCAAGUCGAACGAUGAAGCCGGAGCUUGCUCUGGUGAAUUAGUGGCGAACGGGUGAGUAACACGUGAGUAACCUGCCCUUGACUCUGGGAUAACUGCGGGAAACUGUAGCUAAUACCGGAUACGACCCUCGGAGGCAUCUCCUGGGGGUGGAAAGAAUUUCGGUCAAGGAUGGACUCGCGGCCUAUCAGCUAGUUGGUGAGGUAAAGGCUCACCAAGGCGACGACGGGUAGCCGGCCUGAGAGGGUGACCGGCCACACUGGGACUGAGACACGGCCCAGACUCCUACGGGAGGCAGCAGUGGGGAAUAUUGCACAAUGGGCGAAAGCCUGAUGCAGCAACGCCGCGUGAGGGACGACGGCCUUCGGGUUGUAAACCUCUUUUAGCAGGGAAGAAGCGAAAGUGACGGUACCUGCAGAAAAAGCGCCGGCUAACUACGUGCCAGCAGCCGCGGUAA
rnacentral:rRNA from 1 species